rnacentral:lncRNA from 1 species
AAGCGUUCUAUUUUUCUCCUUCUCAACCCCCAUCCCAGCAUCUUGGAGGCUGGUCACCAGUCUGGGUGCCAUAUCCACCAGAAGCCCUAAAUCAAUAUCCCAACCACCUGAUACCUAGGCUAAAGACAUGUGUAUAUCAGCCAUCUCCUUCCCAAACACCUCUUAUCGCUCUCAAGGCUCAUAUCCUUCCAGAAGCCAUGCCUUAUGGCGACUCAGCUCACCCAUACUGUCCUCUUAAAUUAAUUCACUUAAUUUUCUCCAAAUCCAUACUUUAGCUAAUGUUAAAAGGACUUACCGGCUGGUAGCUCCGUUGCCUCCCGCCUGCCCGCGCUCGGUCCUACAAUCUGUCUCCAGCUCCUCCUUUCCCCCCUCGGCGGAACGGAUACUUUCCUCCCGUCCGGCCAGGCGCGCUCAACUCUCGCGAGAAGUCGUGGGGCCGCGGGGGAAGGGCGAGAUCCGUCGGGGCUGAGUUGGA